CCUUGAAAUACCACCCUUUAAUGUUUGAUGUUCUAACGUUGACCCGUAAUCCGGGUUGCGGACAGUGUCUGGUGGGUAGUUUGACUGGGGCGGUCUCCUCCUAAAGAGUAACGGAGGAGCACGAAGGUUGGCUAAUCCUGGUCGGACAUCAGGAGGUUAGUGCAAUGGCAUAAGCCAGCUUGACUGCGAGCGUGACGGCGCGAGCAGGUGCGAAAGCAGGUCAUAGUGAUCCGGUGGUUCUGAAUGGAAGGGCCAUCGCUCAACGGAUAAAAGGUACUCCGGGGAUAACAGGCUGAUACCGCCCAAGAGUUCAUAUCGACGGCGGUGUUUGGCACCUCGAUGUCGGCUCAUCACAUCCUGGGGCUGAAGUAGGUCCCAAGGGUAUGGCUGUUCGCCAUUUAAAGUGGUACGCGAGCUGGGUUUAGAACGUCGUGAGACAGUUCGGUCCCUAUCUGCCGUGGGCGCUGGAGAACUGAGGGGGGCUGCUCCUAGUACGAGAGGA
rnacentral:rRNA from 1 species